rnacentral:rRNA from 1 species
UACGUAGGCAGCGAGCGUUGUUCGGAGUUACUGGGCGUAAAGGGUGUGUAGGCGGUUCUUUAAGUUUGGUGUGAAAUCUCCCGGCUCAACCGGGAGGGUGCGCCGAAUACUGAGGGACUAGAGUGCGGGAGAGGAAAGUGGAAUUCCUGGUGUAGCGGUGAGAUGCGUAGAUAUCAGGAGGAACACCGGUGGUGUAGACGGCUUUCUGGACCGUAACUGACGCUGAAACACGAAAGCGUGGGUAGCAAACAGG